UUUCAGGGCGCCCAUGUUGCUUGUGUGUUGGUUUAUCUUGACUCGGAUUUUGUCUCCAAAGCUUGUGUAAAUGUAAAAAAAUUUUUUUUUAUGUUGCGUAUACAUUUUUGAAAUGCCACACAAAAUUAUGAAUAGUAGUAAGUAAUAAAAUAAGAGUUAUAAUUUUAAAGAUUAUUGUGAACGUUAGCAGGUAAAAGUUUGAAAGUCUGAAAAUAAAAGCAUUUGCAUCAUCAUCGACAUCAACAGCAAAGUGCUGAAAAUGAUGGCAGUAUGUAAAUACGGCAUCUGCGUACACUCGCGGAUGACUCAUGUGGCGUUUGCACAUACAAAUUUGCAGUCAUUUCGUGAUUUAUGGUGCAGAAAUACGCUUCUGAUAACCAGGUAAUGUUUAGCAUGAGUGUGAAAAUAAACAAGUAUUUGUACAAGCUGAUUUUGGAGCAUGGAGAGAGCCCCAACCAGUCACGAAACCAGGAGUACAGCGCCAUACUUUGUGGAACACCAUCCUGCAAAGCAGUACGAAUUUAGAAUUUCAGUGACAGCAACGAAAGGGGUCUGCUUUGCCUGCAAAUGCCAUUUGAUCAAA